UACGUAGGGUGCAAGCGUUGUCCGGAAUUAUUGGGCGUAAAGAGCUCGUAGGCGGUCUGUCGCGUCGGCUGUGAAAACUCGGGGCUCAACUCCGAGCUUGCAGUCGAUACGGGCAGGCUAGAGUUCGGCAGGGGAGGCUGGAAUUCCUGGUGUAGCGGUGAAAUGCGCAGAUAUCAGGAGGAACACCGGUGGCGAAGGCGGGUCUCUGGGCCGAUACUGACGCUGAGGAGCGAAAGCGUGGGGAGCGAACAGG
rnacentral:rRNA from 1 species